GGUUAAUAGUCGGGUGUAGAAGAAAGUGCUGAGACGCGUGCAGAUGUGUAGCGAUAAAUAUAAUAGAGAUCGUCGAUUAAGUAAAUGUAUAAUUAUUCAAACAUUAAUUAAAGGUGUAAAUUUUGUGUUCCCAUGACAUUAUUUCGGCUUCAAAGAUCCAAAAUUCUCAACAGUAAUAAAUGACAGUAAUUGAAAAUUGCGACUAAUUAAUGGUAUAAAACUAUCAGAAAAUGAAGAAAGAACAGUUGUCACGUCGAUCUUCCAAAAUAUGCUAUAAGAAUCUAUUCAGAAGAGCUGAAAUGUAUGCAGAAUCAAAUGACGAAAGAACGAACCACCAAAUUCAAUGGAAAAUCAUCAGAAAUCUAAGACUUACAGGAUAGCGAGAGGCGGUGCCGGAAGAGGAGAGAAACGCUCGGUUCGUAACGGACGAGAGAAAUGACGGGGUGGAGAGAAAGAGAGCGAGAAAGCGUGCGCGAAUACAAACGUGUUUGCAUUUCAUAACAAGUUACGAACACACAGCAACCGAGGCACCGAAAUCGACGGGGGUACCACUUUGGACGCGGAGCGUUACGCUGCAGGGUGGCACGACGGCGUCCGAUCGAGUUGGCCAGGACAAUGGUACUUGUUACGAAGGCAACGAGAUGUCACCGAUCGUGAAUUAGCGCUGUGGUUGAGGUCGAGCUGGGGUUCCAACGUGGAAGAAGGGUUUUCUGAAAGGGGUGACACGCGAUCAAAACGAGAGAGGAGGAAUUCUUUUCUUGCGUAUUCGUGUACAGAUGCUCUUUAUCGAAACACAUGGUACGUCGUGGUAGCCUAAGGUUCCUGCCUCGACCAGCUCAAGAUUUAUAUCCUAUCAAACUGACAUCGCAAAUGCGCUGGUACCUAUGGUAUAUAGUACGUCAACGCCAAUAAUGAAUCAUCCUCUUCUGGUCCGGCUAACCCUGUGGUAACCUGAGAUGCUUUAUAAAGGAUUUUCGUCAAGAUAUGACGAAUUUCCCAGACUGCCAGUAACCGUAAGUCACGCUAUCUAAUUACAGGGAUCAACUGGA